CUGGAGUUUGCCAAAGCUAUGUAUCCCGACAGGAUCAUCAGUGGAAGCUUGCAGUCUCACUGUGGGGCUGCUAACGGGAAAUGCUGGCAGGGCCUCUUUCUAGCUUAGCUCCUUGAGGGAUGAACCCGUGAUAAGGAGAAUACAACGAUUGGAACACAGUGAUGCUGGAUUCCCUUACAGAACUUCCUAGGUACUUUCCUGAUUGUGUUUUCUCUAGUCAGACACAGGGUGGCACUCUUCAUUAAGUAAUCUGGCAGCUGUGUGGGAAGAUGUCUCCUGUGAACUCCUGUGACUCCAGGAAAAUGAAUUCUUUUCCUUUUUCAUCUGGCCACAGAGAGGGGUGUAGAACCACCUAGAGAAAAACCUCUGGACGUAUGUCAGAGAGUUUCUAGAUUGGAAGACCCACCCUAAAUAGAUAGUGCCAUUUCAGGGGUUGUCCUUCCCCAACUGAAUAAAAAAGAAAGAGCAAGCUGAGUAUCAGCAUUCGUCCUCUCUAGUCCCGACUGGAGAGAAAGUGUGACCAGCUGCCUCGGGCUCCUAAUGCCAGGAUUUCCCUACCAUAAUGGACCGGUACCCUCAAACUGUGAGCCAGAGUAAACCCUCACUUCCUUAAGUUGCUUCUGUCAAAACCAUGAGAAAAAUAACUGAACUGCAUGCCCACAAAUGCAA
rnacentral:lncRNA from 1 species